AUGAACGCUGGCGGCGUGCUCAAACAUGCAAGUCGAGCGGGGCUAUGUAAUAUACGCAAGGUAGAACAUAGCCUAGCGGCGAACGGGUGAGUAACACGUGGGUAACCUGCCUGGAAGACAGGGAUAACGAUUCGAAAGGGUCGCUAAUACCUGAUAAUAUCCUUUCAUCGCAUGGUGAUAGGAAGAAAGGGGAAACCCGCUUUCAGAUGGGCCCGCGUCCCAUCAGCUAGUUGGUAAGGUAAAGGCUUACCAAGGCGACGACGGGUAGCCGGUCUGAGAGGAUGUACGGCCACACUGGGACUGAGAUACGGCCCAGACUCCUACGGGAGGCAGCAGUCGAGAAUAGUCUACAAUGGCCGGAAGGCUGAUAGUGCGACGCCGCGUGAACGAGGGAGCCCUUCGGGGUGUAAAGUUCUUUUCUAUACGAGCAGUGCUAUAUAUAUGGAUAGUAUAUAUAGAGGGAUAGUAGUAUAGGAAUAAGCAACGGCUAACUCCGUG
rnacentral:rRNA from 1 species